UUGUGGAUGGUUGGAGGGUGGAGGGGGGAUGUUGCAUGUCAAGGAAUAAUGAGCACAGACACAUCAACAGACAACAACAAAGCGGACUGUGACUGGCCGAUGGGAGCUAAAGGCCUUCAGUCAUUGGCAGCUUAAGCCAAACAUUCCCAAAUCUAUGAAGCAGGGCCUAUUGUCGGUCAGUUGUUAUUUGCAAUGAAGCACAGAUCUGAUCAUGUUUAAAGUGGCGGCACGCAGGGCAGGGGUGCUUGAGCCCAAGCAAAGGAUGGAAAAAAAAUAAGCCUUUGUGGGGUGGAAAAGGCCCGCCUGAGACCUUUAUUUCUGUCUGUUUGGUGCAACAUAUAAGUCAAUAUAGAUAAGUUCUCCUCUGUGAAGUUUAGGCAGAAGCUGGGGGUCCUGGCAGCCUGGCUGAAAUGCUUGCAGAGGCAGAAACCUCGAGGGACAAAGACACACGUCCACUGAAUUGUACUCUGCUCUUUUGUUUUGUUUUGUUUUGAAUCCCCAAAGGCAAGUGGUCAGAAAUAUAGAAAUUAAUUGGGAGGCUUCAAAAGAAGAGCCUUCGGGUUCAACAUCUACUGUUUCCUGGGGGAAGGGACUGCUCAUGAACACAGAACUGUGACUCAGCCGCGUGGCAUGCUGCGUAUCAGUCACUUUAUCCCACCAGAGCUGCUGCACGUUCAGAAACGCCUUCCUGGGCGGACUGCAGUGUUUACGUGUGUGCAUCUAGGUGUGUUCCGUGUCAGCCUCCACCGCGCUCGCACACGCGCGCCGUUGGUGCCGUGGCGCGUGCAGAUGCUUCUCCUCCUGACGUUUUGCAGCCUCUAGUCCCUGAGGGACACGUGCCCAGGGAGCCGUGUGGUGCGGGCUGCAGCUGCUGGCUGGCUCGCUUCUUCCCCGCGAGAAGGGACCCCUUCCAACUGGCUGCGAUCUAGGCCAGGGUCAGGCAGCCAGGGCUGGCCCACGGCUCUGUUGUGUCCACGGCGCCGACUCUGGACAACUGGGUGCGGUGCUUCGGGUGCAGAAGCCGGGAAGGGGAGAAGGGGAGUGUUGCGGGAGCGGAGAGGGGGGGGAGGGUCCCCGAGGGUGGGCAUGCCAGCGCGGGGUGCAGCCUCGUUGCCCCCAGAGAAGUGGCUGCUCAGCUGCAGAAGCUCGCUGGUCCAGCAGGACAGAGGCGGCCCUGCCUUCUGCCUUCACCCUAGGGGGGCGGGUGGUCCUCCCGAGUGGAGCUCCAGGCACCCUCCGGGCCAGCAUGGCAGGCGCUGCUUGCAAGCCGUGCCGGGGACGUGGCCUUUCACUCGCUGUUGAAAUCAUUUAUUUUUAUUGAUUUACCGAUCUAGGUAUAUUUAUGUAUUUAUCCACGGGAGUGCUGCCGGGAUGCUGUGAUGCCAUCUUCCAGGAUGGUGACCACCUACCUACGUGUGUUGUCCUCAGGAGGAUCGCAACACUGACAGCCUGUGAUUUUUCUACAAACUUGACUUAGGAAGACCAGGUGAACAGAAGUAGAACUGAGCGUUUGAAUAAGAAACAUUCAAAUUACUGAGUAAAAAAACCCCUGCUUUUUACUACAAUGAAUUUCCAGAAUAUAACCCCCCCCAACCUCCGCCCCGGCCCGCAAAGCUGGGCCUCCUAACUCUUAACUGGUAAACAACUGGCUUCCUGAUGCGGCCCACAGAAGCAUUUCUGCCUACCUUUUCCCCACCCCAAUCAGAACCAGGCUUCCUAAAAUUCACUUGUACGGUAUUAAGAUUUAGCCUUGUUUUGUGAGUUUUUGCCAUCUUUGGAUGAUGUCUGUAUUCUGCUUAUUUCUUUUUGCGCUGGGCCUCAAUGGGAACACAAUUACAAAAAAAAAAAAAAAUGCUUUUCUUCUCUCUAUAAUGUAUGGCUCACCGAGGCCAAACACAAAUUCUUCCCUUUUCUGUUUCUGGAGAAUAAACCUCAUCUGUGGCAUUUUUUUGUUUCUGUUUUUGUUUGGCCCAGUCCUGAAAGAUUUCACUGUUCAUUUUUGAAGUUCAAAGUGCAAGUUCUUAGAGUUAGUAUUUAAGUUUGCUGGUGUUGAUGGUGAGACUAUCUUUGGAAAGCACUAACGGGAUGUUUUAGAAAUGACAUUCAUAAUGGGCUCUAAACAAAUGAAUAGGGGUCCCCCCCUUCCCUUUUGUGUAUGUGUGUGUCUGAUUCUUUAAAAUUAAAAGACAAGGAAUUGAUUGCAUGCAGAGAGUGUUGCUUCCUUUUGAAGUGUUUUUUUUUUUUUUUUUUUUUUUUUUGGUCUAGUGUUAGUAUUUGCCUGGAGGGAGAGAUAAAAUAUAAAUGGAAGAGGAGGAAGACAAAUGUGGAAAUUGUCUGGUGGUGGCCAAACAGAAAUUCAGAAGGUCUUAAAACCUCAGCACCUGAGAGCAGGGUGCGGUAGUCAAAAUAUUGACUCCUGUUAAAGGAAGGCACAUCCAAUGCAGGAGAUGAAUACUAUAUAGGGUUAUGAAGAUUUAGAAACAUUUAAAAGAUGAGGACAUUUCAAAUACUAUGUUUGGCACUGUUACUUAAAUAUUUAUAUCUCUGAGACAAGCUGAUGAUUGAAAAAAAAAAUCUGUUCAGGGAGUUCAUAAUGUAUCACAAUGAUCUGCAUACCUACUGUAGCAUUACUGAAGACCAGUAUUUUUGGGUAGUAAAUGAUUAGCAUAUGGAUAAUUGAUCAUGUUUCCAGAGGAAAGGACAACACAUUUUAGAGUGGGUUUUUAU
rnacentral:lncRNA from 1 species